AGCGCAGGUGGGACUUCAAGUCAGUCUUAAAAGUGCGGGGCUCAACCCCGUGAUGGGAUUGAAACUGUAGUUCUUGAGUGCAGGAGAGGAAAGCGGAAUUCCUAGUGUAGCGGUGAAAUGCGUAGAUAUUAGGAGGAACACCAGUGGCGAAGGCGGCUUUCUGGACUGUAACUGACACUGAGGCUCGAAAGCGUGGGGAGCGAACA
rnacentral:rRNA from 1 species